GAUGAACGCUGGCGGCGUGCUUAACACAUGCAAGUCGAACGAUGAAGCCCAGCUUGCUGGGUGGAUUAGUGGCGAACGGGUGAGUAACACGUGAGUAACCUGCCCUUGACUCUGGGAUAAGCCCGGGAAACUGGGUCUAAUACCGGAUAGGAGCGCCUGUCGCAUGACGGGUGUUGGAAAGAUUUUUCGGUCAUGGAUGGACUCGCGGCCUAUCAGCUUGUUGGUGAGGUAAUGGCUCACCAAGGCGACGACGGGUAGCCGGCCUGAGAGGGUGACCGGCCACACUGGGACUGAGACACGGCCCAGACUCCUACGGGAGGCAGCAGUGGGGAAUAUUGCACAAUGGGCGGAAGCCUGAUGCAGCGACGCCGCGUGAGGGAUGAAGGCCUUCGGGUUGUAAACCUCUUUCAGUAGGGAAGAAGCGAAAGUGACGGUACCUGCAGAAGAAGCACCGGCUAACUACGUG
rnacentral:rRNA from 1 species